rnacentral:rRNA from 1 species
AUACGUAGGUGGCGAGCGUUGUCCGGAAUUACUGGGCGUAAAGGGCGCGUAGGCGGAUGGUUAAGUCAGAUGUGAAAAAUGCAGGCUCAACCUGGAUUGUGCAUCUGAUACUGGUCAUCUUGAGUGCAGGAGAGGGCAGUGGAAUUCCUAGUGUAGCGGUGAAAUGCGUAGAGAUUAGGAAGAACACCAGUGGCGAAGGCGGCUGCCUGGACUGUAACUGACGCUGAGGCGCGAAAGCGUGGGGAGCGAACAGGAUUAGAUACCCUGGUAGUCCACGCCGUAAACGAUGGGUACUAGGUGUAGGAGGUAUCGACCCCUUCUGUGCCGGAGUUAACACAAUAAGUACCCCGCCUGGGGAGUACGACCGCAAGGUUGAA